rnacentral:tRNA from 2 species
GGGGGCAUAGCUCAAUUUGGUUAGAGCAACUGACUCAUAAUCAGUAGGUUCAUGGUUCAAGUCCAUGUGCCCCCACCA